rnacentral:lncRNA from 1 species
AGGGUGAGGGCCAGGAAUGGCAUAUGGCUGUCCGAAAUAAAGCAGGCUAUUGAGGAGAACGAUGACAUCUUUGCCGAUGUGGCAUCCAUCAGCCUACCAACAAUCACCCCGCCUUUUGAGGCGGCACCAGGACCUGAGCCCUAGGACCAUGCCUCAGGACUACCUGGCAUGAUGACUCCUUGUUGUCCCCAGUCCACCUGACCGUGCUGCUGCUCCAGUUUCAACUGUUCUGCCUGCGGCUAUGGAACCCUGACCUGUUCACUGUGAUUACUAUUAUUUGACCAUGCUGGUCAUUUAUGAACAUUUGAACAUCUUGGCCAUGUUCUGUUAUAAUCUCCACCCGGCACAGUCAGAAGAAGACUGGCCACCCUUCAUAGUCUGGUUCCUCUCUAGGUUUCUUCCUAGGUUCUGGCCUUUCUAGGGAGUUUUUCCUAGCCACCGUGCUUCUUUCACCUGCAUUGCUUGCUGUUUGGGGUUUUAGGCUGGGUUUCUGUACAGCACUUUGAUAUAUCAGCUGAUCUAAGAAGGGCUAUAUAAAUACAUUUGAUUUGAUUUGAUUUGGUUUUCCUGGUUUUAUUAAUGUUCUGAGAACGGAAAAUCAAGGUUAUUUUGAGGUUUUUGAAUAACUGAAGGGACUCUCUGAACAUCAACAACUGCCUCCCAUGAAGCAUCGUUACUUAUCGCACCCCAAAAGUCAUGGCCCUUACAGAGCAAGGAAAACAACUACUUUAAUUAAGGUCUCAGAGCGAGUGACUUCACCGAUUGAAAUGCUCUUAGUGUGCACCGCUAACUAGCUAGCCAUUUAAUACUGGUUAUACUCACGCCCCUUUGACCACCUCCUCCACAGCAACCCCAGCAGCUGGACAGAGACCAAUUGAGUGAUCUGGGGUAAACAGCAUCAAUGUAAUGGUCUUGCUUCCACCCCCCUACUUCAAGGUCUCAGAGCAAGUGACAUUAACGAUUGAAACGCUAGUAGCGCGCACUGCUAACUAGCUAGCCAUUUCACACUGGUACACUAGCUGGGUAUCAUGUCUGGGAUUGUAAUCAUAGGGAAUAAAGUCUGUAGACUAGCCUUUCCUCUUUGUUGCAGAUAACAGAGCAGCCUGGCAACAGGGACAGAUGAUCAUGCU